rnacentral:rRNA from 1 species
UACGUAGGGUGCAAGCGUUGUCCGGAAUUAUUGGGCGUAAAGAGCUCGUAGGCGGUUCGGCAAGUCGGAUGUGAAAUCUCCACGCUCAACGUGGAGGGGCCAUUCGAAACUGCCGUGACUGGAGUCCGGUAGGGGAGUGCGGAAUUCCCGGUGUAGCGGUGAAAUGCGCAGAUAUCAGGAGGAACACCGGUGGCGAAGGCGGGACUCUGGGCCGAUACUGACGCUGAGGAGCGAAAGCGUGGGGAGCAAACAGG